ACUGGUCGAGUCGGCCUGCGCGGAAGAUGUAACGGGGCUAAACCAUGCACCGAAGCUGCGGCAGCGACACUAUGUGUUGUUGGGUAGGGGAGCGUUCUGUAAGCCUGCGAAGGUGUGCUGUGAGGCAUGCUGGAGGUAUCAGAAGUGCGAAUGCUGACAUAAGUAACGAUAAAGCGGGUGAAAAGCCCGCUCGCCGGAAGACCAAGGGUUCCUGUCCAACGUUAAUCGGGGCAGGGUGAGUCGACCCCUAAGGCGAGGCCGAAAGGCGUAGUCGAUGGGAAACAGGUUAAUAUUCCUGUACUUGGUGUUACUGCGAAGGGGGGACGGAGAAGGCUAUGUUAGCCGGGCGACGGUUGUCCCGGUUUAAGCAUGUAGGCUGNGUAGGUGGGGUAACGGCUCACCUAGGCGACGAUCCCUAGCUGGUCUGAGAGGAUGACCAGCCACACUGGAACUGAGACACGGUCCAGACUCCUACGGGAGGCAGCAGUGGGGAAUAUUGCACAAUGGGCGCAAGCCUGAUGCAGCCAUGCCGCGUGUGUGAAGAAGGCCUUCGGGUUGUAAAGCACUUUCAGCGGGGAGGAAGGCGUUAAGGUUAAUAACCUCAUCGAUUGACGUUACCCGCAGAAGAAGCACCGGCUAACUCCGUGCCAGCAGCCGCGGUAAUACGGAGGGUGCAAGCGUUAAUCGGAAUUACUGGGCGUAAAGCGCACGCAGGCGGUCUGUCAAGUCGGAUGUGAAAUCCCCGGGCUCAACCUGGGAACUGCAUUCGAAACUGGCAGGCUAGAGUCUUGUAGAGGGGGGUAGAAUUCCAGGUGUAGCGGUGAAAUGCGUAGAGAUCUGGAGGAAUACCGGUGGCGAAGGCGGCCCCCUGGACAAAGACUGACGCUCAGGUGCGAAAGCGUGGGGAGCAAACAGGAUUAGAUACCCUGGUAGUCCACGCCGUAAACGAUGUCGAUUUGGAGGUUGUGCCCUUGAGGCGUGGCUUCCGGAGCUAACGCGUUAAAUCGACCGCCUGGGGAGUACGGCCGCAAGGUUAAAACUCAAAUGAAUUGACGGGGGCCCGCACAAGCGGUGGAGCAUGUGGUUUAAUUCGAUGCAACGCGAAGAACCUUACCUGGUCUUGACAUCCACAGAACUUACCAGAGAUGCAUUGGUGCCUUCGGGAACUGUGAGACAGGUGCUGCAUGGCUGUCGUCAGCUCGUGUUGUGAAAUGUUGGGUUAAGUCCCGCAACGAGCGCAACCCUUAUCCUUUGUUGCCAGCGGUCCGGCCGGGAACUCAAAGGAGACUGCCAGUGAUAAACUGGAGGAAGGUGGGGAUGACGUCAAGUCAUCAUGGCCCUUACGACCAGGGCUACACACGUGCUACAAUGGCAUAUACAAAGAGAAGCGACCUCGCGAGAGCAAGCGGACCUCAUAAAGUAUGUCGUAGUCCGGAUUGGAGUCUGCAACUCGACUCCAUGAAGUCGGAAUCGCUAGUAAUCGUAGAUCAGAAUGCUACGGUGAAUACGUUCCCGGGCCUUGUACACACCGCCCGUCACACCAUGGGAGUGGGUUGCAAAAGAAGUAGGUAGCUUAACCUUCGGGAGGGCGCUUACCACUUUGUGAUUCAUGACUGGGGUGAAGUCGUAACAAGGUAACCGUAGGGGAACCUGCGGUUGGAUCACCU
rnacentral:rRNA from 1 species